CUCUCUUCGGCCGGUUGGAAAGGUGAUGCUGCGCUAAGGAAUCUUUCCUCCUUAUUGAAAUUAGCAAUAAUUGCUCGACGCACAGAGAGCUUCUUAUAAAAUAAAAAAUGAUCGAUUCAUAUACUAAGGUCAUUGGUGCUAACAGUAGUGAAUAACGGAUGAACGAAAAUAUGAUUUAUGAUAGCGGCGAACCAUAUGCCCUGGCCACCAGAUAUAGAACGCGAAAAACAGCCAUUUGAAGAGCAGGUUUGCCAAGGUCCACCUACACAGCGACCAGGAUACCGGCCCAUCAAAGAUAUCAUCUCGUAAGAUCGACGAAAUAUGUGUGAGUUCUUCACGAGUACAAUUUUGUCGUAUAAAAUAAAUACUAGAAAUUUCA